GACAGAGGGUGCAACGUUGUUCGGAAUUACUGGGCGUAAAGCGCGUGUAGGUGGCGAGGCAAGUCGGGUGUGAAAGCCCUGGGCUCAACCCAGGAAGUGCACUCGAUACUGCCUAGCUAGAGUCCGGAGAGGUUGGUGGAACUCUCGGUGUGAGAGGUGAAAUUCGUAGAUAUCUGGAGGAACACCAAGUGGCGAAGGCGGGUAGCUGGGCCGACACUGACGCUGAUGCGCGAAAGCCGAGGGAGCGAACGGGGAUGAAUAUCCCA
rnacentral:rRNA from 1 species